AAAUUGAAGAGUUUGAUCAUGGCUCAGAUUGAACGCUGGCGGCAGGCCUAACACAUGCAAGUCGAACGGUAACAGGAAGCAGCUUGCUGCUUCACUGACGAGUGGCGGACGGGUGAGUAAUGUCUGGGAAACUGCCUGAUGGAGGGGGAUAACUACUGGAAACGGUGGCUAAUACCGCAUAACGUCGCAAGACCAAAGAGGGGGACCUUCGGGCCUCUUGCCAUCAGAUGUGCCCAGAUGGGAUUAGCUGGUUGGUGAGGUAACGGCUCACCAAGGCGACGAUCCCUAGCUGGUCUGAGAGGAUGACCAGCCACACUGGAACUGAGACACGGUCCAGACUCCUACGGGAGGCAGCAGUGGGGAAUAUUGCACAAUGGGCGCAAGCCUGAUGCAGCCAUGCCGCGUGUAUGAAGAAGGCCUUCGGGUUGUAAAGUACUUUCAGCGGGGAGGAAGGUGUUGUGGUUAAUAAC
rnacentral:rRNA from 1 species